rnacentral:rRNA from 1 species
UGCAGUCGAGCGGUAACAGGAAUUAGCUUGCUAAUUUGCUGACGAGCGGCGGACGGGUGAGUAACGCGUAGGAAUCUGCCUGGUAGUGGGGGACAACAUGUGGAAACGCAUGCUAAUACCGCAUACGCCCUACGGGGGAAAGGAGGGGAUCUUCGGACCUUUCGCUAUCAGAUGAGCCUGCGUGAGAUUAGCUAGUUGGUGGGGUAAAGGCUCACCAAGGCGACGAUCUCUAGCUGGUCUGAGAGGAUGAUCAGCCACACUGGGACUGAGACACGGCCCAGACUCCUACGGGAGGCAGCAGUGGGGAAUAUUGGACAAUGGGCGCAAGCCUGAUCCAGCCAUGCCGCGUGUGUGAAGAAGGCCUUCGGGUUGUAAAGCACUUUCAGAGGUGAGGAAGGGUGUGCCGCUAAUACCGGUAUGCUUUGACGUUAGCCUCAGAAGAAGCACCGGCUAACUCUGUGCCAGCAGCCGCGGUAAUACAGAGGGUGCGAGCGUUAAUCGGAAUUACUGGGCGUAAAGCGCGCGUAGGUGGUUUGUUAAGUCGGAUGUGAAAGCCCAGGGCUCAACCUUGGAAUUGCACCCGAUACUGGCAAGCUAGAGUACGGUAGAGGGGUGUGGAAUUUCCUGUGUAGCGGUGAAAUGCGUA